rnacentral:rRNA from 1 species
GACGAACGCUGGCGGCGUGCUUAACACAUGCAAGUCGAACGGAAAGGCCCUGCUUUUGUGGGGUGCUCGAGUGGCGAACGGGUGAGUAACACGUGAGUAACCUGCCCUUGACUUUGGGAUAACUUCAGGAAACUGGGGCUAAUACCGGAUAGGAGCUCCUGCUGCAUGGUGGGGGUUGGAAAGUUUCGGCGGUUGGGGAUGGACUCGCGGCUUAUCAGCUUGUUGGUGGGGUAGUGGCUUACCAAGGCUUUGACGGGUAGCCGGCCUGAGAGGGUGACCGGCCACAUUGGGACUGAGAUACGGCCCAGACGCCUACGGGAGGCAGCAGUGGGGAAUAUUGCACAAUGGGCGGAAGCCUGAUGCAGCAACGCCGGGUGUGGGAUGACGGCCUUCGGGUUGUAAACCGCUUUCGCCUGUGACGAAGCGUGAGUGACGGUAAUGGGUAAAGAAGCACCGGCUAACUACGUG